ensembl:lncRNA
UUUUGGCAAUUUUUAAUCUUGCAGUUCUUCGGUAAGUUUUCUCUAAUACAUUUAUCAUGUGCAGUAUUAACUAUUCUGGUUUUAUUUGUAUAAUAAAAAUUAAUUUGUUGUAAUUUGGAUAAACAAUUACUUGAAUUUGGAUCACAAUUGAAAAUGAGUAAUUGUAAACCCCCUUAUCAGUUCUCCAGGUCUGUCUUUUGGGGUCAAAACAUCUCAUCUCAUUUCCCUUCCAGCUGUACUGUGUUCACAUAACUAAUUCCAGUUCACAUGUCAGAUGCCAACUCAAGCAUCUCCUGCUCAGGAAAGCCUCUCCUGAUCCCUACUAGAUCAACGGUUCCUGUUACGCUGAGAUUUUUUUCUUUCAUCACAAUAAUUAGAGUUAUAAUUAUAUAUUUCCAUGAUAAUUUACUGUCUCCCUCAGACUUUGUUCUCUGAAAGCAGGGAUUUUGUUUUCCUUACCACUGGGUCCCUGGCACAUAAAAGGCACUCAAAUUUACUGAAAGAAUGAUGAAAAGAAAAUGGUAUCUUAUCUUGAUCCCUAGAGCACAUGUAAUGCCUGAUCAAUACUAGGCAUUCAUUAAAAGCUGUUUAGAUUUCUCUAUUUUUAUUUCUGGAUUGUUAUGGUCUGAAAGAUAAUGAUCAAUUUUUUUUUCUCAAUACUAAUUUUUAAAAUUGAAUUUUAAUGCUAUAUAUUUUUAAGCCUUUAAUAGCUAUGCUACUCUAAUAGUCUCCUAUUCCUUUCUUAUUAGGGCUGUUAUACUGUACAUCCCCAGGAGGGUAAACUGUAUUCCACAGAGCAGGAGGUUGUUUGAUGUGGUAUCAUUGCAUCCUCACCUCUCUCUGUGAAAGGAAACUCAUUAGGCUAUCUCCUAAAGUUGCUUAUAAUUACAGUUCUAAUCCCUAGCUGUACAUCAUAAGUAUAUAGAAUACUUUUAGAACAGAAAUGCUGGGCCUCACCCUAAAAUUAUUGAAUCAGAAAGUACUGAAUUCCCCCACACGACUGAGGAGUUAGGAAACAAUGGGAGCGUACGAUGAGUAUGGGAGAAGUGGUCAGACAAUAAUCUUGAUAGGCAGCUUAGCAACAGUGUACUAAGGGCCUUGGUUUCAAUACUAAAUAAUUCGGAAUUUAAUUCUACAUAUAGUGGUAACCACUAAUGAUUUUCACAGUGUAAUGAAAUAAUCAGACUGACGAGAAAGCUUAACUUGGCAUCAGUGUGGCAGAUAGGCAGGAAGUGUAUAGAGCCUGAGUCAGGGGUAGGAAGCUACUACAAGCUAAGGAAUGGAUGGUGAGGACUUGAACUAGACUGGCUGCAGUGCAAGCAGGGAGGAAGGAAAUGAGAAAGGACUCCCAAAACAUCAGACAGGACUUUGAUCCACAAAAUAUGUAAGUUGGGGAAAGGCUGAACACCAUAACAGUAUUUCCAGGCUAAGCAACUGAAUGCAGUUUGAUGAUGUCAUUAACCAAAUAGGGAAUAGAGUGGAAGGAUAGAAUGGAGCAAACAGAGGAAAUAAAUUCUAUUUCCAGUUACGAUUCAACUGAAGUUCUUUGUAGACCAUUUAGAUGGACC